rnacentral:rRNA from 1 species
UACGAGGGGUGCAAGCGUUGCUCGGAAUUAUUGGGCGUAAAGGGUAGGUAGGUGGUCUCGUUUGUCUGGGGUGAAAGCCUUGAGCUUAACUCAAGAAGUGCCCUAGAAACGGCGAGACUGGAGUCUUGGAGAGGGUCGUGGAAUUCCCGGUGUAGCGGUGAAAUGCGUAGAUAUCAGGAGGAACACCAAUGGCGAAGGCAGCUCGCUGGGACGGUACUGACGCUGAGACGCGAAAGCGUGGGGAGCAAACAGG